rnacentral:rRNA from 1 species
UACGGGGGGGGGCAAGCGUUGUUCGGAAUUACUGGGCGUAAAGGGCUCGUAGGCGGCCAACUAAGUCGGAUGUGAAAUCCCCAAGCUUAACUUGGGAACUGCAUCCGAUACUGGAUGGCUUGAAUUCGGGAGAGGGAUGCAGAAUUCCAGGUGUAGCGGUGAAAUGCGUAGAGAUCGGGAGGAACACCAGUGGCGAAGGCGGCUCGCUGGGCCGGACCUGACGCUGAGACGCGAAGGCGUGGGGAGCGAACGGG